UUUAACACCCAAAACACUAUUCACUUCAGGGCAGUUUCGCAGUUCGGAAUAGUUGGAGCCCUUCUGAAUGUCCAUUUGAGCUCAAAUUUGACAAGCAGACUCAGUUCAACGUACUGAGUAAAAAUAUAUUUUAAGUUUUCAGUUUCGACCCCAUUUGGUCACCGAAAACUGUGCCGAACUGUAAUCUUUAUCAGAUAGCUGUCGGAUUUUAUUUCUCACUCUACGGGUGUCAGAUAAAUAUUAAACUUUAAAUCUAGCCUCAUAAAAAUAUUUCUGACUUAUCCUCCAAUUUUCAUAAUUUUCUGAGACUGUGCAUUUUCUGCUAAUUUAUCUGUCCCGUUUCCAACAGAAAAUUCUAAAUCUUCUGUUUUCAUUCCGAUUUCAGUACAAGUCACUUCUGACUUAUGUUUUACUUCUACAAAUCCAAUAAAAAUAGUUUCUUACACUAUUUUUAUUUAUUUUUAUUUUUAUACCAAAAUCUGGUAUGUUACACCUGAUCUCUUGCGCGACCACCCGAACGGCCUCCAAUUC
rnacentral:lncRNA from 1 species